GCAGGCGCGCGCGCAUCCGGCGGUUCGACUCACCGGGAACCCACGCAGGAAGCUGAGGAGGAGAACAGACGCCUCUGAGCCACUCGCCAGGCCACUUGAACGUGAGACCGCCGAGUGCGACCCUGAGGCCGAGUGCGUGCGGGACUGGGCGACAGCUCCGCCAGGCGGGAUUUUGUCUGUUUCACCCCUUGAGAUUUAUUUUAUCUACAUGGAGUUGACAAGGCAACAUUUAAUAAAAGAUCACUCAUACUCCAGUGCACCACAGGAUUAACUUUGUCAGAAAUCAAAAACAGUGGGUCUUGCUGCAUUGCCCAGGCUGGACUUGAACUCCCAGGCUCAAGCAGUUCUCCUGCCUCAGCCUCCUGAGUAGCUGGGACUGUGGAUGCAUGUCACCAUGCCUGGCUUAUAUUUGAUAUUUUAUAUUGACCUAUGUUUAGCCACAUUGCUAAAUUCACUAUUUAAUUUUAAUAGGUUUUGUGUAGACUUAGAUUUUCCAUAUAUGCAAUCAUGACAUUUGUGAAUAAUGAAGAGUUUCAUUUCUUUUCCAGUCCCACACCUUAAGUUUUUUUACCUUAUUGUGCUAGGUGGAACUUCAAGUACAUUUAUGUAUGUAACUAUUAGUUUUAUUGGGGUAUCAAUAAAAGUACAAUAAAUUAGGUACAAUUUGAUAAGUUUUGACAUACACACUUGAAAAACCAUUACCACAGUAAAAACAAACAAACAAGCAAAAAAACUAAACAUGUCUAUCACCUCCUACUCUUUUCUCUAUAAUCAGUCCCACCCGCUCCAAGCCCCAGAUACCAUUGGUAUGCUUUGUCACUUAGAUUAGUUUGGAUUUUCUAAAACUUUAUGUAAAUAGAAUAAUACAGUAUGUAUUAUUUGUGGUCUAGAUUCUGUCACUCAGCAUAAUUAUUUUGAAUUUCACGUUUUUGCAUACAUUAGUAGUUCAUUUUCAUAUUACUGAGUGGUGUUAUAUUGAAUACAAAUAUUACAAUUUGUUUAUCCAUUCACUUGCUGAUGGAUAUUUGGGUUGUUUCCAGUUUUAGCUAUUUCAAAUAAAAAUAAUGAGAACAUUUAUUUACAAGUCUUCAUAUGGAUGUAUGCCUUAUUUUUUCUUAAGUAAAUACCUAGAAGUGGCUAAAUCAUCUGAUAGAUGUGUAUUUAGCAUAAGAAAUUGUCAAACUGUUUUCCAAAGUGGCUUACCAUUUCACAUUCCCACCAGCAGUGUGUAAGAGUUCCACUUCUUGACCAGGCGCAGUGGCUCAUGCCUGUAAUCCCAACACU